rnacentral:rRNA from 1 species
UCCUUUGGGGGCUGCGGAAGGAU